GGGGAUUUAGCUUAAUGGCUCAGGCACUUGCCUGGUAAGCAAAAGGUUAUGAGUUCAAUCCCCA
rnacentral:tRNA from 1 species